rnacentral:rRNA from 1 species
UGCGUAGGCGGAAAGGUAAGUGAAUCGUGAAAGCCUAAGGCUUAACCUUAGAAUUGCGUUUCAAACUACCUAUCUAGAGUAUGGGAGAAGUAAGUGGAAUUCUCAGUGUAGCGGUGAAAUGCGUAGAUAUUGAGAAGAACACCAUUUGUGAAGACGGCUUACUAGCCCAAUACUGACGCUAAGGCACGAAGGCUAGGGGAGCAAACA